rnacentral:rRNA from 1 species
UACGAAGGGGGCUAGCGUUGCUCGGAAUCACUGGGCGCAAAGCGCACGUAGGCGGCUCUUUAAGUCAGGGGUGAAAUCCUGGAGCUCAACUCCAGAACUGCCUUUGAUACUGCAAAUCUCGAGUCCGGAAGAGGUGAGUGGAAUUCCUAGUGUAGAGGUGAAAUUCGUAGAUAUUAGGAAGAACACCAGUGGCGAAGGCGGCUCACUGGUCCGGUACUGACGCUGAGGUGCGAAAGCGUGGGGAGCAAACAGG